ACAGUAAGAGAUAGUUACUAUACAGUUUAUAACUGAUAAUUUAUUUGCUUUUUUUUGUGAUCAGCUGUGAAUGGUCAUGGUCUGGAAAUCCGGGGUGGCAACCACCAAAUUACAGUGAGUUCUGCUACCAACUUUAAGUUGUUUGGAAGAAACAAAGGAAAACAGCAAUUCUGGAUUUGCAUUGGCUGAUUUACCAUUCCCUAAGGGAGAUAGAGCCAGAAUCUGGGACUGACACCCAAUAUAGAGCAGGAGAUACUUCGAGCAGCCAGCAUGAAAGGAGGCAAAAAGCCAAGUGGCAGGAUAUCUGCUGAGAAAGCUGAGAAGAUGACAGUCUCACAGGAGAAGAGGG
rnacentral:lncRNA from 1 species